UGAGGGGCCCAUCAGUAUUUGAGAGU
rnacentral:piRNA from 1 species